rnacentral:rRNA from 1 species
UAAUACCCGAGCCACAAGUGGUGACCGCUUUUAUUGGGUUUAAAACAUUCGUAGCCGGUCUGAUAAGCUCCCGGUGAAAUAUCACAGUUAACUGUGGUGCUUGCCGGGGAGACUGUCAGACUAGAGACCGGGAGAAGUCAAGGGUACUGUCGGGGUAGGGGUAAAAUCCUGAAUCCUGACAGGACCGCCUGUGGCGUAAGUUAUUCGGAAUUUUGGAAUAGCUUCCGUACAAGGCGCUUGACCAGAACGGAUCUGACGGUGAGGGAUGAAAGCUAAGGGAGCGAAGCGGAUUAGAUACCCGCGUAGUCUUAGCUGUAAACGAUACCCACUAGUUACUGGGGGUCUCAAGGGGGUCCCCAAUGACGUAGGGAAACCGUUAAGUGGGUUACCUGGGGAGUACGUUCGCAAGGAUG